AUUUCUUUUGCUAUGAGGGGAGCAACUCCUCUUUCUCCUCCUUUCCUAGUGGUGGAGGGAGUUUAUUUUUAUUCAUCUAUCUCUGAAAAGCUGACACCUCACAGGCCUCGCCGCUUCUCUGCUCUUCUCUGCUUCACCAUCACCAGUCCCGGGAGGCUCCGAAGUGACUUCGCAGGCCGUCGAAGGUGGGUCGAAUCCGCAGCAGUCACAAGGUUACGGAGGAAUUCUCAACACAUCUGUGGCCAAAGAAUUGAAUUAAGAGAAUUCAACCGAACUCCAGUGGAAAAAAAUAAUUCAACUAUAUAAAGAUAUGU